rnacentral:rRNA from 1 species
UACAGAGGUCUCAAGCGUUGUUCGGAUUCAUUGGGCGUAAAGGGUGCGUAGGCGGCGCGGUAAGUCGGAUGGUGAAAUCUCGGAGCUUAACUCCGAAACUGCAUUCGAUACUGCCGUGCUUGAGGACUGGAGAGGAGACUGGAAUUUACGGUGUAGCGGUGAAAUGCGUAGAUAUCGAUAAGGAAGACCAGUGGCGAAGGCGGGUCUCCUGGACAGUUCCUGACGCUGAGGCACGAAGGUCAGGGGAGCAAACGGG